UGUUAUGUAAUGCUAUGUAGUAUUAUGCUAUGCUAAGUACUAAGUUAAACUCCCCUCCACUUAACCCAUCCGAACCAAUGUUAUUUUACCUCAACUCACCAACUCAACUCACCGCUUUUUUUCAACGGCUGGGCGAACACUAGUUUUAAUUUAAACCUUGUUUUAUGUAGCUUGUAUGACUUCGCAGAACGUCGCUGUAAUGUCGGCGCUGGCGGGGCAAAAAGCCAUUACACGGAAACUCGUAUGACAAGAUUCUCUGAUGAUAUCCACAAUCAGAAGAAUGCUUCAAAACUCUAUUAGUAAAAACCUAAAAAAUAUUUUUACUAACGAUGUAAUUAUGAGCUACAACGUUGAUGGAACUCACGGCAAGAAGAGUCUCAAAGAGUUCAAAAAUUUGUAUCAAGUGUUAAUAGAAUCAAUAUAGCCCGGACGACCCGGAAACGCAGCUGAGAAAAGCGCUUCAAUUGAAUAAAAAGAGCUUUUUUUCAAAAGUAGGCCAUUGAGACGAAACCUUUUCGGGAUUUGUCCUAAUAGAGAUGGGCAAAACGUAACCAUGCAUGGUUAUUCGUUUGGAUGAUUAGUAAUCCUUGCAAUACAUCGUUCAAUAAUUUGUAGUUUUUUAGAUUAAGAUAUUGAAAACAUUAGUUUGAAUGAACUAAAAGAAAUCAAAACAAAAAAAUAUAACGCUUGCCAAAAUUACAGGGAAAUAGAAUUUUAAAGAUUUUAUUAAUAAAACUCAGAGUUUAAAGCUUUUUG